rnacentral:rRNA from 1 species
UGGGGAAUUUUGCGCAAUGGGGGAAACCCUGACGCAGCAACGCCGCGUGGAGGAUGAAAUCCCUUGGGAUGUAAACUCCUUUCGAUCGGGAAGAUAAUGACGGUACCGAGAGAAGAAGCCCCGGCUAACUUCGUGCCAGCAGCCGCGGUAAUACGAGGGGGGCAAGCGUUGUUCGGAAUUAUUGGGCGUAAAGGGUGCGUAGGCGGUUUGAUAAGUCACAUGUGAAAUCUUCGGGCUCAACCCGAAGUCUGCAUGCGAAACUGUCGGGCUUGAGUAUGGGAGAGGUGAGUGGAAUUUCCGGUGUAGCGGUGAAAUGCGUAGAUAUCGGAAGGAACACCUGUGGCGAAAGCGGCUCACUGGACCAUAACUGACGCUGAUGCACGAAAGCUAGGGGAGCAAACAG